UAAUCAUUCAGAAACAUGUUGCAGACUUAAGCCAUUUUUGAUAUAGAUACUGAAACAAUUACUUGCUAAGAGCAAACUUGAAGGUAUGGAUAAGGCCCUGAGUCAUCUUCCUGAGCUGAAUGAUAGUUAAGCUGAAUUAACAAUUUGGACAAGACAGCAAAUGCUAUUGUCAAAGUUUUCUAAAGAAGAAUCUGAAGUGAAAUGACAUCAAGAGACCUAUCAAGACCUGUAUCCAGGAAAAGGGCUGGCAUCUCUAAUGCUGAAAGUACAACAAAGUGCAGUGGUAGUCACUGAGUGUUCAGCCAUGCUGGGUCAUCAAAAUAAAAGGAGAUUGUCUUCCCAUUCCUAUCAAUGACCUCAUCUCUACCAGAUAUAUAACUGGAAAAACAAUGCAUUUGCUUAAACAUCCACAGUGAGCCGCCACACUUGUUUGGUGUUGUGGGGAAAUGAUGGAGAAGCAUCCUUGUUUAUUAAGGAUCCAAUUUUGAUAGGCUGAGGCAUAUUUUUCCUCCCAAGUCUGCACAUGGUCAUGCAUUAAAUAUUAAUGAGCAUCUUCUCUCUAUCAGGCUUUGGGGGAUAUGUUCACCUCUUGGGAGGUGAACAUGAUAAAUAA